UACGUAGGUGGCAAGCGUUGUCCGGAUUUAUUGGGUUUAAAGGGUGCGUAGGCGGGCCUUUAAGUCAGUGGUGAAAGCUCCGAGCUUAACUCGGAAACUGCCAUUGAUACUAUUGGUCUUGAAUUCGGUCGAGGUUGGCGGAAUGUGUCGUGUAGCGGUGAAAUGCUUAGAUAUGACACAGAACACCGAUUGCGAAGGCAGCUAGCUAGACCGACAUUGACGCUGAGGCACGAAAGCGUGGGGAUCAAACAGG
rnacentral:rRNA from 1 species